rnacentral:misc_RNA from 1 species
AACGCACCUUGCGCCCCAUGGUAUUCCGUGGGGCAUGCCUGUUUGAGUGUCACGUAAACCCUCAUCCGUGCGAUCUUACCGUCGCAUGAAUGGACUUGAGUGUUGCCGUAGUCGGCUCGCUCUGAAAUGCAUUAGCUUUGCGUCUAUUAGCGCGCUCGGCGUGGUGUGAUAAUUAUCUUCACCUAGCCUUAGGCCGCUUCCAAUGUCGCUGCUUCCAAUGGUCUUCACGGACAAAUCCAAUCAAAGCUUUGGCCUCAAAUCAGGUAGGACUACCCGCUGAACUUAA